rnacentral:rRNA from 1 species
UAGCCACGGUAAUACCAGCUCCCCGAGUGGUGGGGACGAUUAUUGGGCCUAAAGCGUCCGUAGCCGGCCUAGUAAGUCUCCCGUUAAAUCUGGCGGCAUAACCGUCAGGCUGCGGGAGAUACUGCUAGGCUAGGGGCGGAAGAGGCCGGCGGUACUCUUGGGGUAGGGUGAAAUCCUAUAAUCCCAGGAGGACCAUCAGUGGCGAAGGC